rnacentral:rRNA from 1 species
AUUGAACGCUGGCGGCAGGCCUAACACAUGCAAGUCGAACGAGUGGCGGACGGGUGAGUAAUGUCUGGGAAACUGCCCGAUGGAGGGGGAUAACUACUGGAAACGGUAGCUACUACCGCAUACCAUCGGAUGUGCCCAUAUGGGAUUAGCUAGUGGGGGGGGUAACGGCUCACCAAGGCGACGAUCCCUAGCUGGUCUGAGAGGAUGACCAGCCACACGGGAACUGAGACACGGUCCAGACUCCUACGGGAGGCAGCAGUGGGGAAUAUUGCACAAUGGGCGCAAGCCUGAUGCAGCCAUGCCGCGUGUAUGAAGAAGGCCUUCGGGUGGUAAAGUACUUUCAGCGAGGAGGCGUUACUCGCAGAAGAAGCACCGGCUAACUCCGUGCCAGCCGCCGCGGUAAUAC